rnacentral:misc_RNA from 1 species
GUGCUCCACAUCUUGUUCCCAUUUAGAAUAUAGCCCCCAUCUGCACGAUCAGCUUUGCAUUUCAUGCUAACAACAUCAGAGCCAGCAUUGGGUUCACUCAUUGCAAGAGCUCCCACAUGCUCUNNNNNNNUUGGCAAGUACUUCUGUUUCUGAGCAGGACUUCCAUUCCUCACCAACUGAUUAAUGCAGAGGUUAGAAUGGGCACCGUAGGAAAGGCCAACAGAUCCUGAAGCACGGCUAAUUUCUUCCAUA